rfam:TPA: Bos taurus chromosome 21, whole genome shotgun sequence.
UCCCUGGUGGCUCAGAUGGUAAAGCAUCUGCCUGCAAUGCACGAGACCCGGGUUCAAUCCCUGAGUUGGGAA